CGAGGCGCUGGCGUGGCGAGCGCGCCGCGGCGUCGUAGAUGCCGGGAACACGCAGGAUCGCCACCUGUGCCCCGCC
rnacentral:tRNA from 1 species